rnacentral:rRNA from 2 species
CACAAGCAGCGGAGCAUGUGGUUAAUCGAAGCAACGCGAAGAACCUUACCAGGGCUUGACAUGCCGCUGACCGGUUAGAGAUAGACCUUUAUCCUUCGGGGUACAGCGGACACAGGUGGUGCAUGGUUGUCGUCAGCUCGUGUCGUGAGAUGUUGGGUUAAGUCCCGCAACGAGCGCAACCCUUGUCUUUAGUUGCCAUCAUUAAGUUGGGCACUCUAAAGAGACUGCCGAUGACAAAUCGGAGGAAGGUGGGGAUGACGUCAAAUCAUCAUGCCCUUUAUGUCCUGGGCUACACACGUGCUACAAUGGUCGGUACAACGAGAAGCAAGCCAGCGAUGGCAAGCAAAUCUCUAAAAGCCGAUCCCAGUUCGGAUUGUAGGCUGCAACUCGCCUACAUGAAGUCGGAAUCGCUAGUAAUCGCAGGUCAGCAUACUGCGGUCGAAUACGUUCCGGGCCUU